GAUGAACGCUGGCGGCGUGCCUAAUACAUGCAAGUCGAGCGAACAGAUGAGGAGCUUGCUCCUCUGACGUUAGCGGCGGACGGGUGAGUAACACGUGGAUAACCUACCUAUAAAACUGGGAUAACUUCGGGAAACCGGAGCUAAUACCGGAUAAUAUAUUGAACCGCAUGGUUCAAUAGUGAAAGACGGUUUUGCUGUCACUUAUAGAUGGAUCCGCGCCGCAUUAGCUAGUUGGUAAGGUAACGGCUUACCAAGGCAACGAUGCGUAGCCGACCUGAGAGGGUGAUCGGACACACUGGGACUGAGACACGGUCCAGACUCCUACGGGAGGCAGCAGUAGGGAAUCUUCCGCAAUGGGCGAAAGCCUGACGGAGCAACGCCGCGUGAGUGAUGAAGGUCUUCGGAUCGUAAAACUCUGUUAUUAGGGAAGAACAAAUGUGUAAGUAACUAUGCACGUCUUGACGGUACCUAAUCAGAAAGCCACGGCUAACUACGUG
rnacentral:rRNA from 1 species